rnacentral:rRNA from 1 species
UACGGGGGGGGCAAGCGUUGUUCGGAAUUACUGGGCGUAAAGGGCUCGUAGGUGGCCAACUAAGUCAGACGUGAAAUCCCUCGGCUUAACCGGGGAACUGCGUCUGAUACUGGUUGGCUUGAGUGUGGGAGGGGGAUGCGGAAUUCCAGGUGUAGCGGUGAAAUGCGUAGAUAUCUGGAGGAACACCGGUGGCGAAGGCGGCAUCCUGGACCACGACUGACGCUGAGGAGCGAAAGCCAGGGGAGCAAACGGG